UAUGGCCACAUCACGUUGAAAUGCAGACUCUCGUACGAUCACCGAAGUUAAGCAACCCCGAGCUUGGUCAGUACCUAGACGGGUGUCCGCUUGGGAAUUGCAGGUGCUGUAAG